rnacentral:rRNA from 1 species
AUUGAACGCUGGCGGUAGGCCUAACACAUGCAAGUCGAACGGCAGCACAGUAAGAGCUUGCUCUUACGGGUGGCGAGUGGCGGACGGGUGAGGAAUACAUCGGAAUCUACUUUUUCGUGGGGGAUAACGUAGGGAAACUUACGCUAAUACCGCAUACGACCUACGGGUGAAAGCAGGGGAUCUUCGGACCUUGCGCGAUUGAAGGAGCCGAUGUCGGAUUAGCUAGUUGGCGGGGUAAAGGCCCACCAAGGCGACGAUCCGUAGCUGGUCUGAGAGGAUGAUCAGCCACACUGGAACUGAGACACGGUCCAGACUCCUACGGGAGGCAGCAGUGGGGAAUAUUGGACAAUGGGCGCAAGCCUGAUCCAGCCAUACCGCGUGGGUGAAGAAGGCCUUCGGGUUGUAAAGCCCUUUUGUUGGGAAAGAAAAGCAGCAGGUUAAUACCCCGCUGUUCUGACGGUACCCAAAGAAUAAGCACCGGCUAACUUCGUG